rnacentral:lncRNA from 1 species
AGCGACCGAACGAGAAAAAAAAGAGGCCCACCGCUCGUUUGCUUCAUCCGAAGAAAGAGGGAGGAAUUUGCCUCGAGCCCCACCCAAAAAUUCAUCCGAGCUACACGCAACCUCCUCUCUUGACGCCGCCGCCUCCUCUUCACUCCGUCAAUUCUCCUCGCGCCGCCACCUCCAUUCUUCAUCUGCCUCCGGGCCUACUCCUAUCCCAUCAUCUUCCUUGUGUCGCCGGCCUCUUCCCCUGUCUCUCCUCGUCGGUCGUCGCUUCAAGUUGUGGAUCUCCUUGCAGCGGUUGCAAUGGUUGGACAAGACGAAGAGGAGCUGUAGCGUCGGGUCUAUACAGCAGCCGGCUGCUCGACACGUCGCGCAAUCACUACACUGUAAGACCCCUCAACACACACACCCACAUGACCGCACCCCACGGUCCUCAUCGACCACGUCGGGAUGUAUUUUGUGAUGCCAUUGUCCAUCCGUUAAGCUAGCAUGUUCUUCUCCUUUCCAUAUGUAUUGUUGUUGUUCUUACUGCUCAUAUAUGUUUUUUAGCAGGUUGUUGUUAGCUGGGUUCCAGGUU